rnacentral:lncRNA from 1 species
CUGCCUUCAUUGGAUCACCAUUGCCUCUUCCCAUGAUUACUUGGGCUCAUUCCAUGUGUUCUAUGCUUUCUCAACAGGUAUUGGGGUGAUCAGCAUCGAGAGGGCAUAUCCACUCACGCUGGGCUCCAACAUUGGCACCACCACGACUGCCAUUCUGGCUGCCUUGGCCAGCCCAGGCAACACAUUGAGGAGUUCCCUCCAGGUCAGCAACUGCUACUGGGUUCUGAGUGGGUUAAAACGUGUCUGGUUUUACAGAACAGUGUUUUUUCUGUGUUUGAGUCGGAAUCACAUGAAGCCCAUGCUGUCCCCAAACAUAUUAGGAACGGCCUUGAGAGGUCCUGCCUCCUGGGCUGGCAAGGGAUGGGCAACACUACCAUACCUAGCAUGCAGACUAUUUUCUAAUGAGAGCCAUGCCCUCUGUUAUAUCCAUAAGGGAGAACUAAUACUGGGUGAAGCCAUGGGGAGCUGUGAAUGAGGAGCUAUGGGUUCCUAAGAGGUGGGCAUGUAGAACAUCUACUCUGCUAUGAGGCAAUGGAUGAAGCGGCAGGCAAAAGCCAUGUCAGAUGACACCGUUAGGAUCUGAAGGCUGAGCUAUUCAGUGGGGUUGCUUCCUUCUUUCCUGAUCUCUAGACAGUAAAGUGAUGUGUGUUCCCAGAAUAUAACGCCCUGAGCCAACUUGGUUAUACUAUACACAAGGAAGACUAUGGGUGACCUUUAUUUCUUCCUACCCUCUCUGUUUCAGAUUGCCCUGUGCCAUUUUUUCUUCAACAUCUCUGGAAUAUUGCUGUGGUACCCAAUCCCAUUCACCCGUCUGCCCAUCCGUCUGGCUAAAGGCCUGGGCAACAUCUCUGCCAAGUAUCGCUGGUUCGCAGUCUUCUAUCUCAUCUUCUUCUUCCUCCUGACCCCGCUGACAGUGUUUGGCCUGUCCCUGGCUGGCUGGCCAGUGCUGGUGGGCGUGGGUGUGCCCAUCAUUCUGCUGAUCCUCCUGGUCCUGUGCCUCCGGAUGCUGCAGGCCCGCUGCCCUCGCAUCCUGCCCCUGAAGCUCCGGGACUGGAAUUUCCUACCCUUGUGGAUGCACUCUCUGAAACCCUGGGACAACAUCAUCUCCCUGGCCACCUCCUGCUUCCAGAGGCGCUGUUGCUGCUGUUGCCGUGUGUGCUGCCGUGUCUGCUGCAUGGUGUGUGGCUGCAAGUGCUGCCGCUGCAGCAAGUGCUGCAAGAACCUGGAGGAGGAGGAAAAGGAGCAGGACGUCCCAGUCAAGGCUUCUGGGGGCUUUGACAAUACAGCUAUGAGCAAAGAAUGCCAAGAUGAGGGCAAGGGCCAAGUGGAAGUUCUGGGCAUGAAGGCCCUGUCCAACACUACAGUGUUCUAGGAGCACCUAGGAGUCAGGGGUGCCUCCCUCCCAUAAGACAGAACAGAGAUGUAGACUGUGAACAUGGCCCACAGAUGACCACAUCCACCCAUGGCCUAUAAUGCCUUCAAAGUCCAUCCUCACCCAAAGACAUUAAGAGGGAGGCAUUAGGGAAGGUUCUGGAAAGAUCCAAUGUAAAGAGUAUUUGUAAAUAUAUGUACAAAGCAGUUGUUUCUUGGUAUAAAACCUCAGCCACAUCUCUCAUUUUAUAAGUCCACUCCUACCCAAUAACUUCUCCUACUCACCCCUGCCCCAGAGCAGCCAAGUUCAAACACACUGAAUGUUUGUAGCCCAUAGGUGUGAGCCUUUCUAGCUCACACUGCAGGGCAUGUUCUAUUAAGGCAUCGUCUGGUAUAGUCAGGCCAAGCAGCUGACCACAGUGUCCUCUGAAGUCCGUGGUGCUCAGCUUCCUAGGAUGGAGUGAAUGGGGUUCACGACGUGUUUGGCACAUUGUUGGUUUUUCUAUGCCUAGGGCUGGACUAGAAUAGGAGACAUUGUUGCUACAUAUUUCUGAUGGAACUUGUAAGACCUGUGUCCCAGGCCUUCUCUCCAUUGCUACUGCCUGGGUCAUCUGCUGGUGAAGGGUCUGCCUAUCUUUCUCUUUUGUGCAAGGAGACUUUCCGGGCCAGCUUUUCAUGCUCUGUUUCAUCCACCCCCUCACCCUCCUGCUCAUGUAUUCAUUUCAAACCCAUCGUCUUACACAGAUGAGCUUCCUACCCCUUCCAUGCCUACAAAGUUCCAAGGGAUUGCUUAGGAGGGAGGAGAUGGGAAAUGGCUAAAAUGCCCUUAGAAUCAAGAUGAAGCCAGUAAGUAGGGUUGGGAGUGUGCAUGUGGGAGCCUGUAUGGCACAGGAUGCCAUAGUCAUACGCUGUGCUCAUGUGCAGUCCCCAUGGUGGCUCUGCAAGCAUUCCCAUCCCAUCCCCCUCCCCACAAGAACGGGCCUCAGCUUGACUUGGGUCAGGCUGUGUGGUUCCACGGCCAUCCUCUUCCAUCAUACUGCAUGGGAAGAGGCUGAGGGCCAGCCCGAGCCCCUCUGUAGAUAAACGUUCCCCAAGAGCCAUUUAUGCGGCAUAAUUUAUAGCCAUGCAUCUGUACAGAAUACUUCAUAACUUAUAGUAAAUAGUGACUUGUUUUAUAGUGUCUCAUUUGGAAAUGAGGCAGGGUUCUUUUAUGUACUGUGAACAGAAAGAACACCUUUGUAUAUUUUGUAAUACUGCCUUUAAACACAACUCUCGAGGUCAUGCUACACCUCCCCCUGUAAAUAUGUAAGGUACACCCCAGGAAGUGGCUUUGCCCUCUGUUGAUUACUUUUUUUAAAAAAAAUGGGAUCUUUGUUUCUGUGUUAAUUGUAUUUUUUUAAAACGGGUUGAGGGAAGGGAGAAAUACGCACCCCCGCCCCCAAGUACUGCUUCCAAUUGCAGGGUGCUGUAAACAAGAGAGGUGUAUUUCCUUACUCAAACCUCACCAUACACCACCAUGGGAAGCUGUAGUUUUUGGGGUUCCCAGUGACACUGGGACACAGAGAGGACUUAGUCCCACCUUCACUCAGCCUUCUCUUUCCCUGGUCUUGUGGACUAGCUACUGAGAGCUAUGCUAAGUAAAGCAUAGCAUUUUGUGGUUAAUGAAUCUUACCGGGUUUGGAAGCUGAUUUUUGAAGCUGUAUGCAGGUUAUCUUUUCAGUCUUGUUUUAAAAAUCAAUUCCACCUGUAAGAGAGAAGGGGAGGGGGGCAGUGAGUGGGAUGUAAAGUGAAAAAGAAAAAUAAAAAAUAUUAAUUCCAAUAUGGUA